UACGAGUGCUCCAAGCGUUAUCCGGAAUUAUUGGGCAUAAAGGGUGCGUAGGCGGCUUGUUAAGUCAGGGGUGAAAGUUUUCGGCCCAACCGGAAAAUUGCCUUUGAUACUGGCGAGCUGGAGUGCGUGAGGGGUGACCGGAACGAGUGGUGUAGCGGUGAAAUGCGUAGAUAUCACUCGGAAGGCCAACGGCGAAGGCAGGUCACUGGUGCGCAACUGACGCUGAGGCACGAAAGCGUGGGGAGCAAACAGG
rnacentral:rRNA from 1 species